AGUUAUGGGGAAAACUUCAAGUUGUGGAUUCUGAUACUUUAGGUAAACUUAAAAAUUAUGAUUCAAAUUGCCAAUGUUCCAUUGACUGCAACUUGCAGUUUGAUUGCAAAUUUAAGAUCUUUAAUUCACCUAUAUAUUGUAAUUAGGAUAAUUACAAGAGUAAUCAUCUCAUGAGAGUGCUAAUACAGCUCUCUGUGGCUAUACAGCCAUACAAAGCUCAGAGCAGCCUCAGUGGGGCUUGUGGCUUUCUUUUGUUUUGCAAACAGUGCCUAGGGAAGUUCUUGCCUGAGUUCAGGGGAAUUUCUUUUUAGCUAAAAGAACAUUGUUGAAGAUCUAUCCAGAUGUUUGAAAUAAUGCCUAAAUUCAGAAUUUAUAAAAGGUCAAUCAGGCUGUAGAAUUUAUAAAGCCAUUACAAUCUGCCUUGCCUACUUCAUAUAAAGUUAUUAUAGAUUUAAAGGUUUGUUUUUUCCUUUGCAUUGUAAAGGGUUUGCUUCUAGUGAACUGGUGAUCACUGGAAAACUUUGCCUCUAGGUAUGGCUAAUAUAGCUUUACAUUAUGUAAGAAAAAAAUUUUAUUGUCUCUGCUUCAAUACAAGAAGCUAAGAGUUUGAAUCUUUCAGUGUAUAUUGUUUCCUAAGUGGAAAGUAUUUUAUUAGCUAAUGCGUCUAAAGGGAAGUUUACUUCAAAUGUUUGCUUUCACACAAUGAGCUUUAAAUUUCUGGGGAGUAGUUGUUGCUCCAUAAGAUUCAGAGGCAAUAUCUUUUUUUAAUAUUUAGGGUUUUAGUUACACUAGAAAAUUGUGGUACAAAAAAAAAUCUAAGAAAGAGAAAUUGAUUUGCUUCAAAAUUUUUAUUUUCAAAAGCUUCCAAGAGAUGUUAAUCAGCUAAGACCUCACCUUAAACUCACCACAGGGGCACUUAAGCCUUUGUUAGGUGCUAUCAAGUGAGAUUCAAAUUAAUUGGUGAGAAACAAAAAGGCUUUACAAAGAGCAGAAGAAACUUCUGUGAUCAAUUGUUAUCAAUUAUGAUCAAUGGAAAUCAAAUAUUAGCUGCUUAUUCUAGUUAUUGUUAUGAGCCCACAGCAAUUCUUUGACAGAGAAAACAAUCCAUUGCUACUCUUAUUUCUGAUUAAUAAAUAAAUAAAAUGUGCACAUGUGACUACUGAUAAAUUUUCAGGCUUUCUAGUUACAACUGUUCUACAAGAGAAAAUAACUGAAAUGUAAUUAGUUACUGCCUAUGUUAAUUUUUUUAAUAGACUUGGUGGGUGUUCCAAAACAGAUUAAAACAGAUAUUGAAACUGGCUAUAACAGUCAAGUAUUUGAGAUGUUUUGUCAACAAUUUAAUGUUACUCAUGUUACUGAGAUAUUUUAUAAUUCUCAUAGACAAGGUAUUGUAGAACUUUAAAAACUAUACCUUCUUAAAAAACAAAGGGGAGAAAUUAUAUCCCCAUGCAAUUAUUUAAAUUACAUUUUUAUUUUUAAAAACUAGACAUAAUCAUGUCUAGGUGAGAUAUAGGAUCCACUUAUUGGCACAUGGCAUGAGCCUGUUCAGAUAUUUAAUAUGGGGGAAAGGGGGCAAUGUUUCUGUUUUUUCCACAGAAUGCUGCAGGAGCAUGCUAGCUUCCAAUGUGACAGACUGACCUGUGAUUUCUUGAGUGCCCUGACAGAGGUGACAGGAAAGCUGUAUUGAGCACACAGAAGAGGAGGAAAUCGGAGAGCAGCCACUUGCAAGCAAGAUGAAGAAACUUCCUAUCUCUGCCAUGGGCUACAGCAAGGAGAGCUGACCUGGUGUCAACCUGGAGACAAGUAAAAAUGAUGAUUCCUGAGGCAGAGGGACUGCUACAGAGUACUGGACAAGAUUCCAUCAGAGACACUGUUUUUGGCCAUUCAAGCCAACUCCCCUAUAGCUGUAAAAGCUUGUUUACUUUACCCGUAUGCCAUAUUAUUAGGAAGUUUUGAUAGAUCACCAAUCUUGGCAAGUCUUUUCACAUUCAUUGUAAUUCUUGUCAAUUAACUAAUUGUAUAGAUCUUAAUUUAGAUAAGGAAUCUGCUGUUAGGAUUUUGCUAAAGAGACCUGCUUAUGUUUUGCUGCCUGUAGAGUUAGGAAAUGAUCCUUGGUUUGAGAAUUCAGGAUUGCAAACUUUUAAAAGAUUAAACGAACUUAUUAGACCUAAGAGAUUUGUUGCAGCUCUGAUUUUACGAAUUACUGCCUUAAUUGCAAUUUUAACUUCUUUUGCAUUAUCUACCACAGUCUUAGUUCAGUGACUGCAUACUGCUCAUUUUGUUAAUGAUAUACAUAAGAAUAUUUCCAUAGCCUUGUCAGAGCUGCAUAUUAUAGAUAAAAAAUUGGAGGCAAAGGAUAACGCUCUAGAAGAAGUAGUGCUGGCAAUAGGGCAAGAUGUUGCAAAUAUUAAGAUUAGGUUAGCUACUAAAUGUCAUGCUUCAUUCCAAUAUAUUUGUGUCACCCCAUUACCUUAUAAUACAACCAUUGAUUGGGAAAAGACUAAAGCUCAUUUGCAGGGAGUAUGGAGAGAUACUGAUAUUUCUCAUGACUUGGAACAGUUAAAGGCAGAAAUUUCAGAUAUUAGCAAAAGUCAUUUGGACACUUGGAACAUUGAUGAAUUGGCCAGAGAUUUAAAAAAUAACCUAAGUGCAUUGAAUCCCCUGGAUUGGGUUCAAUAAAUAAUCCUACUUGUUAUUAUUAUUGGCAUUAUUUUAUUAGCAAUCAUUGUGUUUCCACUCAUCUUUAGAGCACUCCUGAGGUCUGUAGCAACGAUGAGGCAGGACAUUUUGGAACUUCGGCUGAGAAAUAAGAAAGGGGG
rnacentral:lncRNA from 1 species